UUGUGCGCCUCUGCUUUGUGUCAGUGUCCUGAUUGAUUAACAAGCAUGCAUUUGGUUAUGAACAUUUGGUUGUGAAAUAAUAAUGGAAAUGUAUUGCAACACAUAGGUCUUUGAUAGAAACCAGAUCAAACAUGCAGGAUGUUAUCUUGUUCAAUAUCUGUGAAGAUGUGUCUAUUCCUGAUACAUUGGGUGUUUCAUGCGACGUGGGAUGAUGUCCAAGUGCGUUUCUGCCCUCUUUGACAUCCACUCCGAUACACAGCCCUUAAUGUCAGUAUUUAAAAGAUGUCACCUGUAGUCUGACAUGAGGAAACACAGUAUUCUAUGGCAGUGACCCUCAAGCCUUCAUCAACCAUGCCAGCCUGUUUAUUGACUUUCCAAGGGCCUCGGAUUGCUCAGAGACUUGAGGUACAUGGUGGUUGGGAGACCCCAGGCUCAUACAUGACACUCUAGGGUUAACCGGGGCACAUCCACAUGUAUGCCUAGUGUUGGGUGAAGCCAUUAACAUGUAUGGUAGGUUUGCAAGGGAGACAAUGUCCACACUCCCCCUUAUGUUUGAACACAAAAUACGACUCAUUGUUUGUGGGUUUUUUUUUUCUCUGCAUCUGUGUCCAUUACCUGUCCCUCCCUGUUACAGCGUCUGCUAAUAAUACCUUUUCAGUUUUCUAAGGAUCUGUUAAUCAAACAGAAAACACUGGAUUGAAGUUGCAUUUUCCCCCCAUUUAUUCUUGUGAAAUGCACACACUCUCCUCAGUUAAGCAAUGCUUAACUCUCCUCAGGAUUCAACUUCCUUUCGAGUCCAAACAUGUAAUACAGAAUAGUUAUACAAUACAAAAAAAGAUAAGAGUUGGCCAUAACAGCCUGUCAAGUUGCCAUUGGCUUUUUGGUAGCAUCUCUGAGCAGUCUCCUACUUACACGUCAAGUCAUUCACUGUAGGGCCUGAUUUCGGUCAGGUUUUGAUGGUGCCAAACACCUUCUGGUUUUUAAUCAUCUUCAUUUAGCUUAAAGGAAUAUAGGAGGCCUUUGAAAUACUGGCAUACCCAUCCCCUGAUCUGUGCCUUUCCACAACUUUCAGACAGCACCAGCAGAACCACUGUCUGUACCCUUCAGGCUAAGACCAGCUGAUUUCUAAAUCUGGAGAACCAAUAUUCACUGAAAACUUAGGGACAAGGAGAACAACUGUACAAGUUGAGAGGAUGAAUGUUCUCUGGAACUGACUCAUUUUGCCUGGAUUUCAAUAACUGCAAUAAGCUGAGGACCAGCCCCCCCUUUCUCUCCGUCAGCAUGCCACUAUCUUAUAAAAGCAGAGCUUUUUUCCUCCACUCUGCACGACAACACCUGAUCACUACUACCUUCAAGAGAUGCAGUGUACCACAACAGACAAGACGGCAAUGGAACAGUUUUCCCUGCUUUUUAUUGGCAUUCUUGUUCUCUCACUUCCUCGAACCACUCUCUGUUCCCCUAUUUCUAUAGCAGCAGCAGUGGAAGACUGUAAACCACACUGUGGGACCAAUACCAACAACACUUCUGUUGAAAACAUCUCACAUAGUGCAGACCGUACUUCUGCUGGAAAAGUGACUGGUGGAGGCAGCACUAUCACUGGCAACUUAUCAGGUGAUCGAGUCAGUAAAUCCACUGGCAGCAAAUCAGGCGGUCGGGGCAGCAAAUCCAUUGGCAACAUAUUGGGCGGUCGAGGCAGCGAAACAAUUGGACAUUUAUCAGGCGGUCGAGGCAAAAAAUCACAUGAUGGAGGCAGUACUUCCAUUGGCAACAUAUCAGGUGGUGGAGGCAAUGCUAACAUUGGUAAUGUCUCAGGUGGUGGAGGAAGUACUACCAUUGGCAGCAUAUCAGGCGGAAGAGGCUGUACUUCCAUUGGCAACAUCUCACAAGCUAGAGGCAGCAAAUCCAUUGGUGAUGUAUCAGGAAGCGGAGGCAAUGUUAACAUUGGCAACGUAUCAGGUGGUGGAACUGUUACCAUUGGUGACAUAAAGGGUGGUGAAGGCUGUAAAUCCAUUGGUAACAUAUCAAGCAGUGGAGGCAAUGUGAACAUUGGCAACGUAUCAGGUGGUGGAAGCAGUACCAUUGGUGACAUAAAGGGUGGUGGAGGCUGUAAAUCCAUCGGUGACAUAUCAGGCACUGGAGGCAAUAGUUCCCAUGACAACAUUUCAGGUGGUGGAGGCAAUCAUAACAUUGGUAACGUCUCAGGUGGGGGAGGAAGUGUUACCAUUGGUAACAUAUCAGGCGGAGGAGGCUGUACUUCCAUUGGCAACAUAUUAAACGGUGGAGGCAGCAGAUCCAUUGGCAACAUAUCAGGCAGUGGAGGCAAUUCUAACAUCGGCAAUGUAUCAGGCGGUGGAGGCAAUUCUCACAUUGGCAAUGUAUCAGGCGGUGGAGGCAAUUCUAACAUCGGCAAUGUAUCAGGCGGUGGAGGGAGCACCAUUGGCAACAUAAAAGGUGGUGGAGGCAACAAGAACAUUGGCAACGUUGGAAAAAGGACUGGCCAACAUUAGGGCCGUCUUUUAGCUCCACCGAAAACCUCUUAUCAUCCCUGCUGGGAGGAUGAUUUCCCACACUGGAUGUGGAUGGGGUGGAACUACAGUAUCUUAGACAUGAAUUAAUUACACAUUGUUCUUAGUGCUUCCAGAUACACUCUAUGUGUAUGGUAUAAAUAACCAAUGUAACCGUUCUUGCAGUAAAGGCUAGAUUCCUUAGGGUGAUGUAGACGUCAAAAUGAUACUCUGGAGGUCGUGGUAAAUCAUCACUGUGCUGAUUAGACACCCGUGAUAAAAGUCUGAUCAGCACAGCAGUGAUAAAAAUGAGCAGUUUACCACUUAUUGGGCUCCUUAAUUCAAGAAAAUCAACACAUACAACACAUCGACAUAUUCUAAUUUGACAUGUCAUAAUUCGUUGGAUGAUCAUGUCGUAGUCACCAACUCCAUUAUUAUUAAGAUCUAAAGUUAGUUAAAAGUCAGCUGGCUAAUGGAUGGGGUUUCUCUCCUGUCAGCUGUGCCCACUAGAGCCAGAUGCUCUUCCCCAGGUCAUUCAGGAUGCUCCAAUGAGGUCCAGCCCAGCUUCCAUCCAGCUCAGCAUCACUCAGAUCCUCUCUGCCCUAGGCCCGGUUUUCUAAAGCACUAAGAUGCAUGUUAGUGCCUCGUUAUUUUAUCAGUGUGUUUCCCAAAAGCAUCGUUACCUAAGUGUCACGUAACUUCGCUCCCUAAUUAAGUUAGUCCAUCUUGGACGAUCUUAACAGGCACUUUACUGUUUUUGUGAAACUGUGCCUCCCUCAACAUGAGAGGAAUGCUCGCAAACAGUUAAUAUCAAGGCAAUAGAACGAAUGAAACAUAUCAAAACAGUUUUGAUUUAGACACAUUCAUUUAGACAAAUUAGAUAAGUACGUGACUGGGUGUAAAUGUAACUGAAUGCAAUUGGUCAGCUGAGGAUAAAGAGAAACGUACGUAAAACAAGAAAUAGGCUAAUUAAGAAAAAGUGUUCAAAAUUAACCGUUCACGAGUCUGAAAGCCUGCAUGGUACUACUACUAUUAUUUGAUGGAUAGGUGCUGGUGUCUCAACCACAUCAAGAAGAACACUACCAGAAUGCAAACAUGUUUUCUCUUGCGUUUCAUUUGUAUUCCAAACAAUUAGAAUAGAUUUUUCUCACUAUGCUUUAUAUUCCCAGUUAACCAAUCAUGUGUUGAUUGGUGUGUGACUUAUAUUCUUUAUAGCUACUGGAGGAAUUGAUAAUUGGAUGUCACGUGAUCAAUUUCCGGAGAUAUGAUUUUGAUUGGCUGACGUCAACCCCCAUUGGUUGCAAAUCACAGUUUCGUCCACCAUAAAUUUCUCUACUGCUUCGAGUUUAAAAAUGUCUUGUAGUAGUUGAAUACAUCAGCAGCUAUAUAAAAUGAUUCUGAUAAGUGAGCAAGCUCUAUCGAAAUGCAAUAGGCUAUAUUUCAAAACGUAUUCAUGGCAUAAUUCCAUUUCAAGCCCCAAAGAUGGUCUAAUUCCAUUCCAAACGUAAUAUAUAGUGCACGAUGCACUAUAUAAAGAGUGACUUAAACGGUGGUUUGGGAAACAGGCGUAAGUCUGUCGUAACAAAGUCCCACUUAAAGCUAUGUGCAUCAUUAAACCAUCGUAAGUGCUAUGCUAACGGGAAACCGGGCCCUGCUCAGCAUCCACCCCAGGGCUCCCAACAGCGACGACAACAGUAAUUGACGUCCGCGUUGCACUGAGGGAUCUAGCUGCUUUUCCAUUCUUGUUUUUGGCAAAUAAAUGUUACCAAGCUGAGUAAAAAGAGUUCUGUGAAUUCUUGUUAUGACAAGUAACUCGUAAUGUGUGUGUGUGUGUUUAGGGCAGGCCCGCCUUAACCUGUCAUUAGGCCCCGGGGCUAAGAAGUUUUUGUAAGCCCCCCCAACUCACACUAUAAAUAAUAAAAUGUGUAAAAUCCACGCUUGUCAAUACAGCGCAAAAUGGUAUUAGUUUUUUUAGGGGGAUACAACGGUGACUUGUCCCUAUAUGAGAUGACCAAAUCACUUGAGCCUACCUAGUCAGUGUAGAAUAUAUGUGUGGGGUUGGACAAUAUAUUCAGGUAGAAGUGUGGCAAUAAGGAGAUAGAGUCCAGGUCUAUGGUUUAGUCUGUUUAUCUAUGUGUAUGUGGUUCUGAAACAACAAAGCACAACAGUACAGAAUUAUUAUGAACAAAUAAUAAGCAAAACACUCUACCUUGGGAAGGUGAGCAGCAUAGCCACUCCCUGGGCAGAUACUCUCCAUUACCAAGCUUGCGCUUGGAAUGUGUCUUUGAGAAGAAUCUUCUCUGGUGUUUGUUUUGGUGUUCUGAAGCAGAGAGGUCAGCUUGUCUGUUCUGGCACAAUUCCGGUCCCAUUUUCCCCCAGUAAAAACACACCUGUUCGUCAGUAUUAUUUUGGCCCCAGAGACCCGGGUCAGUGUUAUACAGGUCGACAUCAUCCGACUCGUCCCGUCCUGAUCCUGCCCGCAUGUCUCCUCCACUGUGAUCCCCUUCGCCUGGAUCUACCCGCGCCACCGAUUCCUCUUCUCCUGCUCAGCCAGUCCUCAUCCUCUUCAGCUUCUCCCAGUAAAAUUACCGGUCCUCCUCUCUGCUCGUUGUCCUCUCCACUAAUUUUCAGCACUCCCCUGUUUAAUGAGCUCACCUGCUCUUAAUUUUUAGAGAGUGACUUAAAUGGUGGUUUGGGAAACCGGCGUAAGUCUGUCAUAACAAAGUCCCACAUAAAGCUACGUGCAUCAUUAAACCAUCGUAAAUGCUACGCUAUCAGGAAACCGGGCCCUGCUCAGCAUCCACCCCAGGGCUCCCCACAGCGACGACAACCGGGUGACAGUACUUGACGUCCGCGUCGCACUGAGGGAUCUAGCUGCUUUUCCAUUCUUGUUUUUGGCAAAUAAAUGUUACCAAGCUGAAUAAAAAGAGUUCUGUGAAUUCUUGUUAUGACAAGUAACUCGUAAUGUGUGUGUGUGUUUAGGGCAGGCCCGCCUUAACCUGUCAUUAGGACCCGGGGCUAAGAAGUUUUUGAAGGCCCCCCCAACUCACAAUAUAAAUAAUAAAAUGUGUAAAAUCCACGCUUGUCAAUACAGCGUAAAAUGGUAUUAGUUUCUUUAGGGGGAUACAACAGUGACUUGUCCCUACAUGAGAUGACCAAAGACACACCUGUUCGUCAGUAUUAUUUUGCCCCCAGAGACCUGGGUCAGUGCUAUACAGGUCGAUGUCAUCCGACUCGUCCCGUCCUGAUCCUGCCCGCAUGUCUCCUCCACUGUGAUCCCCUUCGCCUGGAUCUACCCGCACCGCCGCUUCCUCUUCUCCCGCUCAGCCAGUCCUCAUCCUCUUCAGCUUCUCCCAGUAACAUUACCGGUCCACCUGUCUGCUCGUUGUCCUCUCCACUAAUUUUCAGCGCUCCCCUCUUUAACGAGUUCACCUGCUCUUAAUUUUUAGCAGGUUUAAAAAAACCUGUUAGGUUUGGAAUGUGUUUUAACAAUUCUUUCUCACUGUUUUCUUUUUGCCGUAAUAUUUUUUGUUUUUGAGCACUGCUCUCAAACUUUUUCCUUUCUGGAAUUUUGACCUAGCUAGCCACAAGCUUCUCACUAGCAUUAUACGGUACCAUGACAACGGCCUAAUGCUAAUGUAUGGUAACGUAGCGUCGGUGGUCAUGUGAAAAUGUGAUAUAUCUGCAGCCAGAAUCAUGAAUAUCGAGUGAUCGACAGAAAAUUUGACAAAUUACAAAACUAUGUGAUUUUUUAUUGGCUCAUGAUAGGCCCCUCGUCUUCAUAGGCCCCUGGGCUUAAGCCCCGGUAAGCCCGUGCAUUAAGGCGGCCCUGGUUUAGGGUGUCGCCCCCCCACCUCAACAGAAUAAAACACCCAAAAUAUUUUCAGUACUGUAUAAAAUGUAUGUGCAAAUUAGUGGCAUCAGGGUGUGGAUUUGGGACAAUGAGGACUAGCUCAGAGUGCACAUGAAAUGUAACUUUGAUUAUGGAGCCUGGAGUAGAUGAGCAGCUCAAUUUGCAUAGACAACCACAGACACCACAAGGGAUUCACAACCUGGAAGUCUUUAGUACAUUUGUAGAUGGUCUAUAGAUAAAUGCUCUAUCUAGCACCUAUAUUCAGAUUGGAAUUUUGGGAUUGUUGUUUUUCCCCCAAAAAAUAUUUUUCUAUUCAUUAUAUGGUCAAAGUUUCUACAUAGAAAUGUUUACUCUAGUGUUUGCUUCAUGCAUAUUUUAUACAGACAUUGUGGUAGAUGUGAAAUCUAAGAGGUUCAGUUAUAGAAGUUACCUGCAAUAGGAGUAAACCAAAAAAGUGGAUUCCUAGUGUCUCCUAGUUAAGUCUUAAAUAUAAAAGUCCAACAUUUAAUGUAAUGAAAAUGGAAUAAAGAUUAACAUUUGAAACAGAACACACUUUGAAUAGAUAAUAUUCAGCAAUGUUAGUAAAUAAUGUAAAAUAUAAUUACUGAACAUACAGUAUUGGGGCUGUAAAGACUAAACUAUAGACAGUGCACCCCUGAUAUGGGGUAUCUUACUGAGCAACACUCACAGAAUACAAGUGUGAGUUUAAACCAAUAUGAUGUAUUAUGUGUGUCGCUGAGACCACUGAAACCCUCUUUUCAUGGUUGCACAACAUCUAGUUUUACAACAUGUUUUCUGCAAUUAUCCACAUUUAUAUACUUACACAAAGAGAACAUAAUUUGUCAUUUGUUUAUUCCAUUUUGCCAUACAGUUGGUUAGAGUGAUUGUAGUGAUUUGUUUUAUAACCUUUGCAGAACAUUCACUACAAUUCUACACAUGACAUACAGGACAUGACACAAAUUGAGGGUAAUUGAGUAACUGUCAGUGAAGGACAUGAUAAAAGACCAAAUGUCACAUUUUAACCAGAUUUUAUUGUAACUCACUCUUAAUGAAUACCCC
ensembl:lncRNA